CUAAGGCCAAAGUACCUGUGAACUGUGUAAAGAUAUCUCACCCAUCUCAGAUCGAGUGGAUCCAUCACCCUCUCGCUUUGGGGGAUCCUGAGUCAGCUCCCCAAAUGUACCCCAAAUGACUAUGGGAAGUCAGAGUGGAGAAAAGGAGCAUCAGAACUGACUGCAGAUAAACCAAAUUACCAAUAAUAUCUGACCACGUGAAUAGUUACGGGGGACCUGCAGGACCCCGAUGCCUAAGUUGUAUCAGCUUCAUGAUAAAUGCAACUCUGAGCAUGUCACAAACCUCUCUGAGCUUCAGUUUCUUCAUCUGUAUAAGGAACAAACCAGUCCUGGCCCAAUCUAUUUUCGAUGAGGAUCUGAAAUGAAAGAAAAUGUGAAGACCUUGGAUCCCAAAGGCCCUGCAUAAUGAUGAUGACCAUGAAGAUGUUGCUGAGGCGGCCCUAGCAGGUGUCUGCUGAGCCUUCAGCUUUAGGGUCAGUACUCCCUCGGGCUCCGAUGCCCUGCCAACUACUCCCCCUUCCAGGCCAGAAACUCUAACAGAACUGCAAAGCUUCAGGCUUUGAUCUCAGUUAAAGGACACACCUCUGGAAGGCAUGACGUGUGAUGUUGUAAUCAGGUAUUUGCAGCCUUGUGAGAAUGAGCUCGUCCAGUCAUUAAAUCGACAUCUACUGAGUGUCCCCCAGUGCAAGGAGGCUCCACAGGUACAAAGUGAAAGGGUUCGGAGCCUCACGUCUGGAAGAGGAGACAAGUCAGACACGCGCCUAAAUAGCCACAACGCAAGACAAAGGAAUGAGAGCCACAGGCCAAGGAGACGCCUGGGGCAAGUGGAGAAGGGCUGGUCAGGGCUGGUCCAGGAAGGCUGGGGGCCUGACCAGGCCUUGCUGCACAAGGAGGCUUACACAGCUGGAGAGGGGCCCUGGGUCCUUGAGAAGGGAGGAGUGAACAGUGUGGCGUGCAGGCUUUCCAGGAUAGAAGAGGCUUCAACACAAUUUGAGGAUCACGUUUGCAUCAAGGUCUACGAAUUCCAACGAUUCACCGCAUCUCAAGAAGAUGGAAGUGUUUUAGAUAAAGGCCCACACAUUUGAAGCACAACCUGAGUUUUUUUGUGUUUGUUUGUUUCUGAGUAUCUGCGCAUGAAAAUUUGUAUUUCUGCUUCUUUGCCUGCCUUAGGGAAUAUGCGUAGUUCUGUGGAUACAGACAUACCCCGACCCCGACACGGGGUAGGACUAGGACGUGUGCAUAUUUGUGCUCAACUCAUCUCUGGCGUUAGGAAG
rnacentral:lncRNA from 1 species